rnacentral:rRNA from 1 species
GACGAACGCUGGCGGCGUGCCUAAUACAUGCAAGUCGAGCGAAUCGAUGGGAGCUUGCUCCCUGAGAUUAGCGGCGGACGGGUGAGUAACACGUGGGUAACCUGCCUGUAAGACUGGGAUAACUUCGGGAAACCGGAGCUAAUACCGGAUACUUUCUUUUCUCGCAUGAGGGAAGAUGGAAAGAUGGUUCUGCUAUCACUUACAGAUGGACCCGCGGCGCAUUAGCUAGUUGGUGAGGUAACGGCUCACCAAGGCAACGAUGCGUAGCCGACCUGAGAGGGUGAUCGGCCACACUGGGACUGAGACACGGCCCAGACUCCUACGGGAGGCAGCAGUAGGGAAUCUUCCGCAAUGGACGAAAGUCUGACGGAGCAACGCCGCGUGAGCGAAGAAGGCCUUCGGGUCGUAAAGCUCUGUUGUUAGGGAAGAACAAGUACGAGAGUAACUGCUCGUACCUUGACGGUACCUAACCGGAAAGCCACGGCUAACUACGUGCCAGCCGCCGCAGUAA